UUAAAUGCUUUGAGCAAGAGGUUUUAUAAAUUAACUUUUAAGCGAGAGAAUGUUGGUGGGAAUUUCUUAAGUUGUUUUUAAAAUGUAACUUGUUAGCAGUCAUAAUGAAUUUAGUAGUUAUGAACGGUUCAAACCGUUAUUUGUUUUAAGUUGGGAUUAUUUUAAUAAUCCAAUUUAGGUGGUACCGCGAGCAUUCGUCCUAUUA
rnacentral:ncRNA from 1 species